UACGAAGGGGGCUAGCGUUGUUCGGUUUCACUGGGCGCAAAGCGCACGUAGGCUGAUUGGUCAGUUGGGGGUGAAAUCCCGGGUCUCAACCUCGGAACUGCCUUCAAUACUGCCAGUCUUGAGUCCGAGAGAGGUGAGUGGAAUUCCUAGUGUAGAGGUGAAAUUCGUAGAUAUUAGGAAGAACACCAGUGGCGAAGGCGGCUCACUGGCGCGGUACUGACGCUGAGGUGUGAAAGCGUGGGGAGCAUACAGG
rnacentral:rRNA from 1 species